AGUGAACGCUGGCGGUAGGCCUAACACAUGCAAGUCGAACGGCAGCACAGUAAGAGCUUGCUCUUACGGGUGGCGAGUGGCGGACGGGUGAGGAAUACAUCGGAAUCUACUUUUUCGUGGGGGGUAACGUAGGGAAACUUACGCUAAUACCGCAUACGACCUACGGGUGAAAGCAGGGGAUCUUCGGACCUUGCGCGAUUGAAUGAGCCGAUGUCGGAUUAGCUAGUUGGCGGGGUAAAGGCCCACCACGGCGACGAUCCGUAGCUGGUCUGAGAGGAUGAUCAGCCACACUGGAACUGAGACACGGUCCAGACACCUACGGGAGGCAGCAGUGGGGAAGAUUGGACAAUGGGCGCAAGCCUGAUCCAGCCAUACCGCGUGGGUGAAGAAGGCCUUCGGGUUGGAAAGCCCUUUUGUUGGGAAAGAAAAGCAGCAGGUUAAUACCCCGCUGUUCUGACGGUACCCAAAGAAUAAGCACCGGCUAACUUCGUG
rnacentral:rRNA from 1 species